CUCAUUUCAGUAUGAUGUACACUAUAUUUGAAAUGAUUCAGUGAAGAUUAACAUGGCUUCUGUGCAAAAUUGAAAUACCAAUUUAUAAGCAUCUCAGGGUUCUA